GCCUGUGGCCAUACCAGUCUUAAAAUGCCUGAUCUCAUCACAUCUGAGCAGUCAUUCAGACUCGGGCCUGGUUAGUACUUGUGUGGGAGACCAACUAGGAACCUCAGGUGCUGUAGUCU